AAAGUAGAAAUAACAUAUUUUGUAAUUAAGCAAGUGAUGGGUUAGCAGGGAAUUUCGAGGACGAAAUUCCUUUUAGAGAGGGAGAUUUGUAAUACCCCAAAAUAGGGCCAGGAAUUUUAAGGGUAAUUUAGGAAUUUCAGCCUUAGAGUGUUCGAAAUUUUGCGACAUGAUUUAUCAGUAAUGUUUUUUACCGUAAUUUUUAGGAAAUUAAAUCAAUUUUUG
rnacentral:lncRNA from 1 species